ensembl:lncRNA
CGGCGCAGAGCUGCAGGGCCUGGAUCUGGAUGGUGAACCAUCCCUCUCUUUCCAAAAGGCCAGAUUUCAUUUUAUUCCCACCCUGCGUUUGGUCAGGCGGCCAAGGAAAGCAUUUUGCUUCAUAAGCCAAAUUGCUGCGUUUUCUGAUUUACAUCGAAUGAGGCCAUUUCCAUUUCAGGCCCGGAGCAGCGGUGAGCGCUCCAUGUCUGACGCACCUCCUGGAUCACCCCGGCUCACGGCACCAAAACGGCCGUUUCUGAUUCCAGAAGGCGUGAAAAUGGGACACUGUGGCUGCUUUAUAAACCUCUCUCGUGCACAGCUACGAGCAGAAAUAAUAACUAACGAACUUUCUGUAAAAAAAGAAAUCGGAGGUGUAAAAUUGACUAAAACUUGGAGGAAAGAACACGCUGCUAACAUGUGAAGCAUGCAUGAAGCAUCCCAUAAGUCAUAUAAAGUGCAACAAUGCUUGAAAAAGACCCAUCUUCCUGCAAUGCAUUUUAACAAAUGUAUCCCGCGUGGGAUGGGGCAGAAGAGGGGCCGGGGCUGUCAGAGCCAUGAGGGAGGCGGGCAGCAACAUGAAACCAGCAACAGGCUCCUGCUGGAGCAGCGAAAGGGACGGUACUGCGGUGCAGGGAUGGGGUGAAGGGGACCGGGAAGAGCAGAGGAGCGGGCGGCGCGGCCCGGGAUGCAGGCCGGCAGCACAGCCACGCAGCACCGCCUCGGGCUGCAGUUCCGCCCGCCGCCCAGCAGAGGGCGCUGCCUCACGGCGGUGACGCGGAGGACGAACGCUUCAGGGUGUGCUCGUAAAGUGCGCUGAGCAGAGCCAGGAAGUCCAGGUUCUUCUCCUAGACUUGGCACGUACACUUAAUUAGCCCGAGCACUGCUGCAAUUUUUGUCUCGCAAGAAGAAAUUUGACUGUUAAUUCACUGAUGAAUGUGAAGUGUUUUGAGAUCACAGAUAAAGGGCUUGUGGGUGUGAGAAGGUAUUACCUCAGCCUUCAAAAAGCUCGGGCCGGCUCUUGACCUCAGGUACCAGUUUCUGGAGUGAUUUGACUGCCCUUAAUCACCUCCGACGACGGCUCCACAUUUUAAUAGCAGACACCGGUUAUUUCCAUUCCACCAAGCAUUUACGAUGGGUGAACCCUUCUGCUGCAGCAGUGAAAUUCAUAUAUCUGAUUACGGUAACGACGGCCAUCUGUAAGUGGCUAAAUAAAUAGAGCUGUCUGAGCAUUGCUAAUCCUGUUCUCUUAAAGGUUGCCUACACUGCCACGUUCAGGGGUUCUGCCCUGUCUGAUAUUUCUCCCACGGACCACCAUCUGUACAGCCCUUUCCACGUUCUCCUAAGGCUCACCCUGUUUUUUCCACAGUGACCUUUGCUGCCCAGCCUCUUGAAGUCUGUUCAGUACCAUCCAGUUUUGGUAUAAAGGGGGAAAAAAGAGGGAACAUGGCCAGGAUGGGAAACAGAGGGAGGCUGUUCCUCACCUGCUGCCUGCUAGGCCAAGGGUGGGUAAUUCCACAGUGCAAGAAGUGUGUACCUGGAGAAACAGAGCAUGCAUGGCUCUGGGCACGUGGGCAGGAGCAAGACAUGCUACCUUUGUGUUGUAGCCAGCACUCUGGAAGCUGGUUGCAAUUCUGCAAGCUGCUUUGCCUGUGCCACAGUGAGCUUUCCUGCAGCAUGGUCUUGGCUGUAGGUGAGCUUUCACUCCAAGACCAUCUUACUUUUCUGGGUUUUUUUCAAUGUUCUUGUUUUCUGACCGUUCAUCAUCACUGUUUUUCCCAACAUUGUGUGGCCAGCGUACCUCACAUAAAAUUUUAUGCCUGCAUUUCUUACCCACACGUGUGAGACCUACUGGGACUGGUUCAGCACCUUGGAGGACCUCGCUAAUGGGUGAGCGCACCACAGUACUUUGAUUUUUAAAUACUGCAUAGGAAAAGAAGGGGAAAAAAAGACCCUUUGUGUACCAAUCUCAGCCUUCAUAGGCCUUUUAUUGCAGGAACUAUAAAAUAUUUCCCAGAAUGCCUGGCCGCAAUUGCAUUAUUUCAAUUUAUAAGAAUCUCCUUGCCCAAAUUCUUUUCCCUUUUUGUGACAAUUGCUUAUCAAAGCUUCAGAAAAGUUUUUUUUCCCCAGAACCAGGGAAGUUUUGGAGCAGGUUGCAGGCCACUUACAUUAGCUGCAGGGGAGGUGUCCCUCCCGAGUGCUCUGCAGCACACCUGGGCCGCUCUUCCUCUUUAAAAAGCCCACAGGCAGCUGGGUUAGCUCCUUUGGAGGCCGCUGGAUUAUUCGGUCAUUACAGCAGGAGGGGGCUAAUCCAUAGGAUUUCCUUUUGAAGCAGGAACACGUAAAGCAAGGAAGGGCCCUGGAAAGAAAAGGAACGCUCAAAAGGUAUGCUGUUUAAUAGAGAAGAAAAAAAUCCCAAGCCAUGUUUCUCUGCUAGCUUAGUCACUCUCCUGAAUGAAGCAGUUAAACCUUUCUGUGAGCUGUGGGAGGUUCUCAGUUGCCCACCACCCAGCCCUCCAGUCACUGCUGUUCAGGUUGUGCUAUGGAGCCACACCAGUGAUGGGGAUGCUCUCGUGGGCUGGUGUGGGUGCUGCCUCUACCCCCAGGUGAGCCAGUAGCGGGGUGCCUGGAGCCCUUCUGCUCUGUAAGAAGCACUUGGCCCACUGUCUCUUGAGACUAUUGUUAGUAAUUCUAUAGCAGUUCCAGGGAGAAGGCAGGUUUAUCAUCAGACUUCAAAAAUUAGCAUGCAACUCCCACCACAUCAUUGCAUUGUUGGGGAUCUUCAUAGUGAAAUUAUCAGUGAAGUCUGAUAGAAGUUAUCACAAUAAUAUGAAGUUUGGUGCAGUUGUGGCUUUAUGUAUCUUGCAUACCUGGGUGCCUUCCCCCUCCCCCCCCCCCCCGACAUAAAUUGUAUGUUCACAAAAAUCUACACUAGUAAAUGAUCUUCUCUAGCACAGUUUGGGCUUCUAGCAAGUUAAAUUCUAUCUCAUCUUUGUUUAACCUUUGUAUUAUUGCUCAGUCAGUGCUUGGGCACUCAUUAGCGCCCCUGUAGGCAUCUUGGUAACCUAACUAGUUCUGGGACUGCUUCCCUGGCUGUGUUCACCUGCAGCACCUCUUUGCUGAUUCCAGAGUAGGCUGAGCUACACAGCUACUUCCUAUCGGUUUCUGAGAAAUGUUUUAAUCUCAGCACCAGCAGCACAUCCCAGCAGUCUGCAAGAGACUUACCUAACAAACUCCCACCAAAUAGUUUCAGCUCCCCUUCCCUGCUACAUGCAUGGGAUUCCCUAGCAGAAAGACAACCUUUACUGUAGCCCCACUGACAGCGCUGGGGCUGCACUGAUUAAAAUGCUGUGACAACUGUUAAAAGAAGGUUCCAGCAGCACAGUGUAACUCGCCUAAAGGAAAAUACUAAGGUAAAACAGGCCUGUUCAAGCAACACAGGUCAAUAUUCUGAAUGUAUAGUAUAUACACAGGCAGCAAGCACAGAUCCCAGUGGAACAUCCUUAACAAUCAAGAACUUAAAUUAUUUUCUCUCUCUUACUUUCUCAAGAGUCAAAGAUGGACAUGUUCAGUUCUUCCUGUUCAUGAUCCGGGUAACUAAGAAGUGGAAGUCUCUAUUAAGCCAUGGGAACUUUGAAGGGACACCAAAUAAUCAAGUCAGUGCUCAAUGGAACAAGGUUUUUCCCACAAAUAAUGAUUGAUAUCUGUGUCAUUAGCAGGGUAGCUGCCCAUCUCUUACCAUGAUUGACAGGUUAAUAAGGGACCUGGGGCUAUCUUUUCACUGCUAACACACCACCUAACCAAUUGCUUUUAAAUUAUUGCUAAUUUGACAGAAUAUAAGCAGAAGGCAUAAAAAUAUCUGGAGCAGAAAAAUGUCUAACGUGGUUUUUACUCUUUGCAUUCUCAGUGAUCCUAUUUUAGAAAAGAAAUUAGGAUUUAGUUAGAUUUCUUUUUUUUUUUUUCCCCUUUUUAAAGACACUCCGUUUUUAAAGAAAAUCUUGCAGUUGUUCUUUGGUUCAAUUAGGAGCAAAAGAGAAGGGAGUUUUGUAAUGCAAUUGUCCUGUAAAGGAAAAUGUUUUAAAUUGGGGAGAUUAUGUGAGCAGACCACCUGUAGGGCAUUCAUAGCUCUUUUCUAUAAUGCUCCAAGCCAUGCCUUGCUGCCUGCAGUCUGGCUAACAAUGCAGGGAAAAGCUGUUUAAAAGGCUGUUCUCCCUUUUCCCUCUGGUGUUCACUAACUGUUACAAGUCU